rnacentral:tRNA from 1 species
AGCUUCGUAGUACAGAUGGAAGAGCGUGCGCUGUACAAAAGCGUAGGCGGCGUCCAUGCGUGGGUUCCAAUCCCACCGAGGCUA